rnacentral:rRNA from 1 species
UGACGGUAUCAUAUGAAUAAGCACCGGCUAACUCCGUGCCAGCAGCCGCGGUAAUACGGGGGGUGCAAGCGUUACUCGGAAUCACUGGGCGUAAAGAGCAUGUAGGCGGGUGAAUAAGUUGGAAGUGAAAUCCUAUAGCUUAACUAUAGAACUGCUUCCAAAACUGUUCACCUAGAGUAUGGGAGAGGUAGAUGGAAUUUCUGGUGUAGGGGGUAAAAUCCGUAGAGAUCAGAAGGAAUACCGAUUGCGAAGGCGAUCUACUGGAACAUUACUGACGCUCAGAUGCGAAAGCGUGGGGAGCAAACAGGAUUAGAUACCCUGGUAGUCCACGCCCUAAACGAUGUACACUAGUUGUUGCUAUACUAGAUAUGGCAGUAAUGCAGUUAACACUUUAAGUGUAC